CCUACGGGGGGCAGCAGUAGGGAAUCUUCCACAAUGGGCGAAAGCCUGAUGGAGCAACGCCGCGUGGGUGAAGAAGGUCUUCGGAUCGUAAAACUCUGUUGUUAGAGAAGAAAGAGGGCGUGAGUAACUGAUCACGCCCCGACGGUAUCUAACCAGACAGCCACGACUAACUACGUGCCAGCAGCCGCGGUAAUACGUAGGUGGCAAGCGUUGUCCGGAUUUAUUGGGCGUAAAGGGAACGCAGGCGGUCUUUUAAGUCUGAUGUGAAAGCCUUCGGCUUAACCGGCGUGGGGCAUUGGAAACUGGGAGACUUGAGUGCAGAAGAGGAGAGUGGAACUCCAUGUGUAGCGGUGAAAUGCGUAGAUAUAUGGAGGAACACCAGUGGCGAAGGCGGCUCUCUGGUCUGUAACUGACGCUGAGGUUCGAAAGCGUGGGGAGCAAACAGGAUUAGAUACCCGGGUAGUC
rnacentral:rRNA from 1 species